GAUGAACGCUGGCGGCGUGCCUAAUACAUGCAAGUCGAGUGAACAGACGAGGAGCUUGCUCCUCUGACGUUAGCGGCGGACGGGUGAGUAACACGUGGAUAACCUACCUAUAAGACUGGGAUAACUUCGGGAAACCGGAGCUAAUACCGGAUAACAUGUUGAACCGCAUGGUUCAACAGUGAAAGACGGUCUUGCUGUCACUUAUAGAUGGAUCCGCGCCGCAUUAGCUAGUUGGUAAGGUAACGGCUUACCAAGGCAACGAUGCGUAGCCGACCUGAGAGGGUGAUCGGCCACACUGGAACUGAGACACGGUCCAGACUCCUACGGGAGGCAGCAGUAGGGAAUCUUCCGCAAUGGGCGAAAUCCUGACGGAGCAACGCCGCGUGAGUGAAGAAGGUCUUCGGAUCGUAAAACUCUGUUAUUAGGGAAGAACAAAUGUGUAAGUAACUAUGCACGUCUUGACGGUACCUAAUCAGAAAGCCACGGCUAACUACGUG
rnacentral:rRNA from 1 species